GAUCCGGAAAAUUCAAAUACGAAGCAAGAUCGAGGAAAAGAAAAAGUUCAGGAUUAGUAGAUUUUUGGUUACGAACAAGUGUCGAGAGUUAAGAGCUCGGAGGUCGGAUUUGGUCAGAGACACAUCACACUAUCAACGUCAAGAUCUCGGUCAGUAGAAAUCAAAGGUCCCGGUUCAACAUCCAGAUCAAUCCCGACUUCAGAGACAAUUUGGUGAUGUAACCUUUCUUUGGGUAAAAGUGGCAUGUACUUAGGUAUUAUAUAAAUUAUGUACUUAAGUCUUGUGACUUUGGUUGUAAAAUGAUGUCUAAUAUGGAUUAUAAGUAUGAAAUGAA